rnacentral:rRNA from 1 species
UACGUAGGGGGCGAGCGUUGUCCGGAGUUACUGGGCGUAAAGCGCUUGUAGGCGGUCCACCAAGUUUGGGGUGACAGUUGCCGACUUAAUCGGCAAAGUGCCUCAAAGACUGGCGGACUUGAGGGCCACAGAGGGCCAUGGAACUCCAGGUGUAGUGGUGAAAUGCGUAGAUAUCUGGAAGAACACCAAAGGCGAAGGCAGUGUCCUGGGUGGUCGCUGACGCUGAGAGGCGAAAGCCAGGGGAGCGAACGGG